CCUACGGGCGGCUGCAGUGGGGAAUAUUGGACAAUGGGGGCAACCCUGAUCCAGCCAUGCCGCGUGUGUGAAGAAGGCCCUCGGGUUGUAAAGCACUUUCAGUGAGGAAGAACGCCUGGUGGUUAAUACCCAUCAGGAAAGACAUCACUCACAGAAGAAGCACCGGCUAACUCCGUGCCAGCAGCCGCGGUAAUACGGAGGGUGCGAGCGUUAAUCGGAAUUACUGGGCGUAAAGCGCGCGUAGGUGGCUUGAUAAGCCGGUUGUGAAAGCCCCGGGCUCAACCUGGGAACGGCAUCCGGAACUGUCAAGCUAGAGUGCAGGAGAGGAAGGUAGAAUUCCCGGUGUAGCGGUGAAAUGCGUAGAGAUCGGGAGGAAUACCAGUGGCGAAGGCGGCCUUCUGGACUGAAACUGACACUGAGGUGCGAAAGCGUGGGUAGCAAACAGGAUUAGAUACCCCAGUAGUC
rnacentral:rRNA from 1 species